AAGAGAACACCAAACCCCAAUGAGGAGGAUUAGAGAAGAGAUUUUUGCUAUUCGAUAGACGCAAAUAUUUAAGGCCAACCAGAUGUCCAAUUGAUGAAGGUAUUUCCUCGAUCGCACUACCACUUAAGGCAAUCGACUCCAAAUUCUUCUUCUGCUCCCCAAAUUCUAGAAUCUUUUUCAGAUUUUUGCAAUUAUCUAGAUGCAACUUCUGAAGGCCAACCAGAUGUCCAAAGGAUAAAGGUACUUCCUCGAUCGCACUACCAAUUAAGUCAAUGAACGCCAAAUUCUUCAUCUGCUCCCCAAAUUCUGGAAUCUUUUUCAGAUUUUUGCAAUUAUUUAGAUACAACUCCUUAAGGCCAACCAGAUGUCCAAUUGAUGAAGGUAUUUCCUCGAUCGCACUACCACUUAAGACAAUCGACUCCAAAUUCUUCAUCUGCUCCCCAAAUUCUGGAAUCUUUUCCAGAUUUUUGCAAUUAUCUAGAUGCAACUCAUAAAGGCUAACCAGAUGUCCAAUUGAUGAAGGUAUUUCCUCAAUCGCACUACCACUUAAGGCAAUCAACUCCAAAUUCUUCAUCUGCUCCCCAAAUUCUGGAAUCUUUUUCAGAUUUUUGCAAUUAUCUAGAUGCAACACCUUAAGGCCAACCAGAUGUCCAAUUGAUGAAGGUAUUUCCUCGAUCGCACUACCACUUAAGACAAUCAACUCCAAAUUCUUCAUCUGCUCCCCAAAUUCUGGAAUCUUUUUCAGAUUUUUGCAGUUAUCUAGAUGCAACACCUUAAGGCCAACCAGAUGUCCAAUUGAUUAAGGUAUUUCCUCGAUCGCACUACCAUUGAAGCUAAUCGACUCCAAAUUCUUCAUCUGCUCCCCAAAUUUUGGAAUCUUUUUCAGAUUUUUGCAAUUACGUAGAUGCAACACCUUAAGGCCAACCAGAUGUCCAAUUGAUGAAGGUAUUUCCUCGAUCGCACUACCACUGAAGCU
rnacentral:lncRNA from 1 species